UACGGAGGGUGCAAGCGUUAAUCGGAAUUACUGGGCGUAAAGAGUGCGUAGGUGGUUUGAUAAGUUAUCUGUGAAAGCCCUGGGCUUAACCUGGGAAAGUCAGAUAAGACUGUUAGACUUGAGUAUGGGAGAGGGUAGUGGAAUUUCCGGUGUAGCGGUGAAAUGCGUAGAGAUCGGGAGGAACACCUAUGGCGAAGGCAGCUCGCUGGGACGUUACUGACGCUGAGGCGCGAAAGCGUGGGGAGCAAACAGG
rnacentral:rRNA from 1 species